CCGAUGUGAUUCCAAGAAAAUAUGGAGUGAUCUUUGGGUUUCUUUCUUUCUGGUUCUCUUUCAAGGGGAAUGCUAAUGUUGCUGCCGAGUCUUCAGGAGAGGAGGCCAGGAACAGGGCUGCAGCAGAGGGAGCUUUGCCUGGCACCGAGAGCUGCGGGAACAGUUCCCCAGAGCCCGAGGAGCCUGAUUCCAUCUGAUUGACCUCUCCAGGAGGGCUGCCCUGAGUGGGAAGAAGAGACAGAGGGAGAGCCUGCGAGAAGAUCAGGCAGGUGCAAUCCCUCUGUCUAUAGUGAUAUUGAUAGAUGUGUAUAGUUAUAUUUAUCUAUCUCUGUAGUUAUAUUUCUAGAUUUAUACAGUUGUAUAUAUAUGUCUAUAUAGAUGAAUUUAAAAACCUGUAUAGAGGUAAAUUUAUAUAUAUAUUUAUGUAUUUUUUUAUUUAUAUAUGCAUAGUUGUAUUUCUAGAUCUGCGUAGUUACAUUUUUAAACGUGUAGAGUUGCAUUUAUAUAUAUGCAGUUAAGUUUAUAAAUAGUUACAUGUGCAUAGUUAUAUAUUUAUAUAGUUAUAGGUAUAUGGAGCAUUAGGUACAUAGAUUGAUAUCUGUGUAGGUAUAAGCAGCUUUUUAACCUCUUUCCUGCUCUGCUUCCUCUCUCACCUCUUGCUGUUGCCCCUGUGCCCCCUCUGUCCCCUCUUCCUGUGCUGGCUUCGAGCUGGCGGCCGGGCCGGGCGGAGCAGCAGCUGCAGCCCCGGUGUCCCUGGAGCGGUGAGAGCUGCCGGUGGCCGCAGGCACUGUGCCCUGAGGAGCUGCUGGAGGACGCUGCCCUGAAGUCCUUGAGAAGACCCAGGACUGAUGAGAACCAGCAGGGAGAAGCUGAAGGCCACAGCAAGAGCAGUGAACGGGGACCUGCUGCUGCCGCCCGAGACCCUGGCUGAGGCCCCAGGGCCGGUGAGGCAGGAUGUCCCAUCUGCUGUCGCUGUCCAGGAGAGCUGCUCUGCACGGGAGGAAGAGACCGAGGGAGAGCCUGGGAGCAUCGGUGCCUGCAAUCCCUCUGAAUAUAUUUAUAGAUUUAUGUAAUUAUAUAAAUACAUAGACAUUUAGAUACGUGGAUUGAUAUUUGUAUAGGUAUAUUUACAUUU